AAACGUAGGAGGCGAGCGUUAUCCGGAUUCACUGGGCGUAAAGGGCAUGUAGGUGGUUCGCCAAGUCGGACGUGUAAGCCCUUGGCUUAACUGGGGGAGGACGUUCGAGACUGGAGGACUGGAGGGCAGCAGAGGCGCAUGGAACUCCCGGUGUAGCGGUGGAAUGCGUAGAGAUCGGGAAGAACACCGGUGGCGAAGGCGGUGCGCUGGGCUGUACCUGACACUGAGAUGCGAAAGCGUGGGGAGCAAACGGGAUUAGAUACCCCGGUAGUCCACGCCCUAAACGAUGCGGGCUAGGUGUGGGUGGGAAGGCCAUCCGUGCCGAAGCGAACGCGUUAAGCCCGCCGCCUGGGGAGUAUGAGCGCAAGCUUAAAACUCAAAGGAAUUGACGGGGGCCCGCACAAGCAGCGGAGCGUGCGGUUUAAUUCGAUGCGACACGAAGAACCUUACCAGGGUUUGACAGGCACGUGGUAGCGAAGGGAAACCGGAGCGACCCGCAAGGGAGCGUGCACAGGUGAUGCAUGGCUGUCGUCAGCUCGUGCCGUGAGGUGUUGGGUUAAGUCCCGCAACGAGCGCAACCCUUGUCGCUAGUUACAGGUGUCUAGCGAGACUGCCGGAGAUUGUCCGGAGGAAGGCGGGGAUGACGUCAAGUCAGCAUGUCCUUUAUAUCCUGGGCGACACGCACGCUACAAUGGGUGUGACAGAGCGUAGCCAAGCCGUGAGGCGGAGCAGAUCGCCGAAAAGCACCCACAGUGCAGAUUGCAGGCUGCAACCCGCCUGCAUGAAGUCGGAGUUGCUAGUAAACGCCGGUCAGCCAUACGGCGUUGAAUACGUUCCCGGGCCUUGCACACACCGCCCGUCAAAUC
rnacentral:rRNA from 1 species